rnacentral:rRNA from 1 species
GAUGAACGCUGGCGGCGUGCCUAAUACAUGCAAGUCGAGCGAACAGACGAGGAGCUUGCUCCUCUGACGUUAGCGGCGGACGGGUGAGUCACACGUGGAUAACCUACCUAUAAGACUGGGAUAACUUCGGGAAACCGGAUCUAAUACCGGAUAAUAUAUUGAACCGCAUGGUUCAAUAGUGAAAGACGGUCUUGCUGUCACUUAUUGAUGGAUCCGCGCCGCAUUAGCUAGUUGGUAAGGUAACGGCUUACCAAGGCAACGAUGCGUAGCCGACCUGAGAGGGUGAUCAGCCACACUGGGACUGAGACACGGUCCAGACUCCUACGGGAGGCAGCAGUAGGGAAUCUUCGGCAAUGGGCGCAAGCCUGACGGAGCAACGCCGCGUGUGUGAUGAAGGUCUUCGGAUCGUAAAACUCUGUUAUUAGGGAAGAACACAUGUGUAAGUAACUAUGCACGUCUUGACGGUACCUAAACAGAAAGCCACGGCUAACUACGUG